CGCGUAGGCGGGUAGGAAAGUCUGGUGUGAAAGCCCGGGGCUCAACCCCGGAAGUGCACUGGAAACUUCUUAUCUUGAGUUCGGGAGAGGAGGGCAGAAUUCCCGGUGUAGGAGUGAAAUCCGUAGAGAUCGGGAGGAAAAUCAGUGGCGAAGGCGGCCCUCUGGAACGAAACUGACGCUGAGGCGCGAAAGCGUGGGGAGCAAACA
rnacentral:rRNA from 1 species